CCUACGGGUGACUGCAGUGAGGAAUAUUGGUCAAUGGGCGCGAGCCUGAACCAGCCAAGUCGCGUGAGGGAAGACGGUCCUAUGGAUUGUAAACCUCUUUUGUCGGGGAGCAAAAGACGCCACGCGUGGCGUUCCGAGAGUACCCGAAGAAAAAGCAUCGGCUAACUCCGUGCCAGCAGCCGCGGUAAUACGGAGGCUGCGAGCGUUAUCCGGAUUUAUUGGGUUUAAAGGGUGCGCAGGCGGAAGAUCAAGUCAGCGGUAAAAUUGAGAGGCUCAACCUCGUCGAGCCGUUGAAACUGGUUUUCUUGAGUGAGUGAGAAGUAUGCGGAAUGCGUGGUGUAGCGGUGAAAUGCAUAGAGAUCACGCAGAACUCCGAUUGCGAAGGCAGCAUACCGGCGCUCAACUGACGCUCAUGCACGAAAGUGUGGGUAGCGAACAGGAUUAGAUACCCGGGUAGUC
rnacentral:rRNA from 1 species